GACGGAGGAUGCAAGCGUUAUCCGGAAUGAUUGGGCGUAAAGCGUCCGCAGGUGGCAGUUCAAGUCUGCUGUCAAAGACCGGGGCUUAACUUCGGAAAGGCAGUGGAAACUGAACAGCUAGAGUAUGGUAGGGGCAGAGGGAAUUCCUGGUGUAGCGGUGAAAUGCGUAGAUAUCGAGAGGAACACCUGCGGCGAAGGCGGGUUGCUGGGCUGACACUGACGCUGAGGCGCGAAGCUAGGGGAGCGAACGGG
rnacentral:rRNA from 1 species